GGAGGGUGCAGAGGUCGUCGGGAGAGGACAAUGCUGAGAGCGGUGUGAUGAAGGGUCGGUCCCAUGGACCCUGGGAGCCAGACUCGAGCAUCAUGAACUUGUCUUCCUACGCACCCCAGCGAAGGCAGUGGCCCGGGGCAAAGACCGAAGGCCAAGUGCGUGUUGUUUUACAAGCCUGCAUCGGUUCACAAGACCAAAGGAUUCGAGCUGAAGGGGAUAGCAGCAAUGGGCACCUUGGUGGCUCGUUCAGUUAAGCAUGCAACUCUUGAUCUUGGCUCAGGUCACAAUCUUGCAGUUUGUGAGUUCAAGCCCCGUGUCAGGCUCUACGCUGACCCUGCGGAGCCUGCUUGGGAUUCUCUCUCUCUCCCUCUCUCUCUACCCCUCCCCCACUCACUCAUGCUCUCUCUCUCUCAA